rnacentral:rRNA from 1 species
UACAGAGGGGGCAAGCGUUGUUCGGAUUUACUGGGCGUAAAGGGCGCGUAGGCGGUCAGCACAAGUCAGUUGUGAAAUCUCCGGGCUUAACUCGGAAAGGUCAACUGAUACUGUGCGACUAGAGUGCAGAAGGGGCAACUGGAAUUCUCGGUGUAGCGGUGAAAUGCGUAGAUAUCGAGAGGAACACCUGCGGCGAAGGCGGGUUGCUGGGCCGACACUGACGCUGAUGCGCGAAAGCUAGGGGAGCGAACGGG